UACAGAGGGUGCAAACGUUGCUCGGAAUCAUUGGGCGUAAAGCGCACGUAGGCGGCCCAGCAAGUGGGGAGUGAAAGCCCUCGGCUUAACCGAGGAAGUGCUUUCCAAACUACUGGGCUUGAAUACUGGAGAGGGUCGCGGAAUUCCUGGUGUAGCGGUGAAAUGCGUAGAUAUCAGGAGGAACACCGGUGGCGAAGGCGCACAUCUGGCCCGAUACUGACGCUGAGGCGCGAAAGCUAGGGGAGCAAACGGG
rnacentral:rRNA from 1 species